CGAACGGGUGAGUAAUGCGUGACCAACCUGCCCCAUGCUCCAGAAUAGCUCUUGGAAACGGGUGGUAAUGCUGGAUGCUCCAACUUGACGCAUGUCUUGUUGGGAAAGUGUUUAGUGGCAUGGGAUGGGGUUGCGUCCUAUCAGCUUGUAGGCGGGGUAAUGGCCCACCUAGGCUUCGACGGGUAGCCGGCCUGAGAGGGCGGACGGCCACAUUGGGACUGAGAUACGGCCCAGACUCCUACGGGAGGCAGCAGCC
rnacentral:rRNA from 1 species